UCUCAGAGACCAGCUUGGCCAGACCUCCCCUCCACUCAGUCACCAGAUCUACAUCAUCUGCUUGAAAUGGUAGACCUGCUGAUGUUAGUUACUGUAUAACUCUGGUUUCUGUUUGUGAUUUGAGGGCUGCCUGGCCAAUCUGAACAUCAGAAUCUCCCUCAAUUCCAGUGUGGCCAAAUACAUGAGAAUUCUCCUGCUGACCUAUGAGAAUCAAGGGUCUCCGUUUGAGAGGCAAAGAGUGUUGCAUUGCUGGACUCAGAAGCUUCCUGGGACUUGAUCUGCCAAAGAGAGCAGAAAAGCGGUCUACAAGUUCAACAACAACCACCCAAACCUUAUAUCAGCUGGAUCCAAGUUUCAGUAAAACCCCUGCUGCUGCUGGAGAGCAGAGGAGGCGCCACUGCUGCGACUGCCCAGCCUGGCUUUCAGCAGGAGCCCAGCAUCCAUGGCCUCUGCUUCAGUGAGCACUGCCAGGCCAUGCAGCCAGCGAUGACAGCUGUAGCCAGCAGUUACCCAGGCGUCACCGUUGAGCCUCGCUCUGCCUGCCAGGCACCCACCGCUGUCCCCUUACACCAUGUCAGUUGCCGCAGAGAGGCUGAGCUAGAAGUUGCUGAGGAGGAAAACUGCUGCCAGGUCCGCGCGAUGGAGCGCAUUGAGAAGCUGGCGAUGUACCUGGCCGAGGUGGAAAAGCAGGACAAGUACCUGUGGCAAUAUUUAUAGUAAA